CCCUGCCCUUUGUACACACCGCCCGUCGCUACUACCGAUUGAAUGGUUUGGUGAGCCUCACGGAUUGGCGGCCUCGCUGGCUUCGGCUUGUUUGGCUGUCGAGAAGUGAUGCAAACCUGACUAUUUAG
rnacentral:rRNA from 1 species